rnacentral:tRNA from 1 species
GUUAAUGUAGCUUAAUCCAUUAAAAGCAAGGCACUGAAAAUGCCUAGAUGAGUCCCACAACUCCAUAAACAC